UUGGUGGGGUGAUGGCCUACCAAGGCGACGACGGGUAGCCGGCCUGAGAGGGUGUCCGGCCACACUGGGACUGAGAUACGGCCCAGACUCCUACGGGAGGCAGCAGUGGGGAAUAUUGCACAAUGGGCGCAAGCCUGAUGCAGCGACGCCGCGUGGGGGAUGACGGCCUUCGGGUUGUAAACCUCUUUCACCAUCGGCGAAGCCAGAUGCUUUUGUGUCUGGUGACGGUAGGUGGAGAAGAAGCACCGGCCAACUACGUGCCAGCAGCCGCGGUAAUACGUAGGGUGCGAGCGUUGUCCGGAAUUACUGGGCGUAAAGAGCUCGUAGGUGGUUUGUCGCGUUGUCCGUGAAAUUCCCUGGCUUAACUGGGGGCGUGCGGGCGAUACAGGCAGACUGGAGUACUGCAGGGGAGACUGGAAUUCCUGGUGUAGCGGUGGAAUGCGCAGAUAUCAGGAGGAACACCGGUGGCGAAGGCGGGUCUCUGGGCAGUAACUGACGCUGAGGAGCGAAAGCGUGGGGAGCGAACAGGAUUAGAUACCCUGGUAGUCCACGCCGUAAACGGUGGGUACUAGGUGUGGGUUUCCUUCCUUGGGAUCCGUGCCGUAGCUAACGCAUUAAGUACCCCGCCUGGGGAGUACGG
rnacentral:rRNA from 1 species